rnacentral:rRNA from 2 species
CUGAGGACACGGUCCAAACUCCUACGGGAGGCAGCAGUAGGGAAUCUUCCACCAUGGACGAAAGUCUGAUGGAGCAACGCCGCGUGAGUGAAGAAGGGUUUCGGCUCGUAAAACUCUGUUGUUAAAGAAGAACAUAUCUGAGAGUAACUGUUCAGGUAUUGACGGUAUUUAACCAGAAAGCCACGGCUAACUACGUGCCAGCAGCCGCGGUAAUACGUAGGUGGCAAGCGUUGUCCGGGAUUUAUUGGGCGUAAAGCGAGCGCAGGCGGUUUUUUAAGUCUGAUGUGAAAGCCUUCGGCUCAACCGAAGAAGUGCAUCGGAAACUGGGAAACUUGAGUGCAGAAGAGGACAGUGGAACUCCAUGUGUAGCGGUGAAAUGCGUAGAUAUAUGGAAGAACACCAGUGGCGAAGGCGGCUGUCUGGUCUGUAACUGACGCUGAGGCUCGAAAGUAUGGGUAGCAAACAGGAUUAGAUACCCUGGUAGUCCAUACCGUAAACGAUGAAUGCUAAGUGUUGGAGGGUUUCCGCCCUUCAGUGCUGCAGCUAACGCAUUAAGCAUUCCGCCUGGGGAGUACGGCCGCAAGGCUGAAACUCAAAGGAAUUGACGGGGGCCCGCACAAGCGGUGGAGCAUGUGGUUUAAUUCGAAGCUACGCGAAGAACCUUACCAGGUCUUGACAUACUAUGCAAAUCUAAGAGAUUAGACGUUCCCUUCGGGGACAUGGAUACAGGUGGUGCAUGGUUGUCGUCAGCUCGUGUCGUGAGAUGUUGGGUUAAGUCCCGCAACGAGCGCAACCCUUAUUAUCAGUUGCCAGCAUUAAGUUGGGCACUCUGGUGAGACUGCCGGUGACAAACCGGAGGAAGGUGGGGAUGACGUCAAAUCAUCAUGCCCCUUAUG